GUCACUUUGCCGGAGUGGUUAACGGGAUCGCCUGCUAUGUAUCCUAACCAAUGAGGACGCCCCCUUGGAGGAGGAUGAUGCGCAUUAGCGGUUGGGCUUUGCCCGCGAGUGUUCGAAUCGCUCAGGUGACG